rnacentral:rRNA from 1 species
UACAGAGGUCCCGAGCGUUGUUCGGAUUCACUGGGCGUAAAGGGUGCGUAGGUGGCAUGGUAAGUCGGAUGUGAAAUCCCGGGGCUCAACCCCGGAACUGCAUUCGAUACUGCUGCGCUAGAGUACUGGAGAGGAGAUUGGAAUUUACGGUGUAGCAGUGAAAUGCGUAGAUAUCGUAAGGAAGACCAGUGGCGAAGGCGGAUCUCUGGACAGUUACUGACACUGAGGCACGAAGGCCAGGGGAGCAAACGGG